GAAAAUUUUGGAGCUCUGCUUCCAAUCACACUGUGUGCACCGUUAACUGUCUCUGGCAGGACCAGGGGUUAGGCUUCUGCCUUACCUCCCCUGCCGAUGGUUCGCCUCGCCUCUCCUUGUGGGAGACGGACCAGUUGAACAACACCUUGAUUAUAAUUCGUCUGAACUUUCUCACCUUGUGUGAGAAAUUGAAA
rnacentral:misc_RNA from 1 species